AUGCUGGGUUGAUGAAUUGUGCAAACCACAGUUCGGCCAGUGUUAACUGUAUUUUUCACCGCCCACAUUACAAUCGCCGCGGCUCUAGCAUCAAGACCAGAAGUUGGCUCAUCCAUGAAUAUGAUUGAAGGAUUUGCUACCAGCUCCACGGCAAUUGUCAGUCUCUUUCUUUGUUCAGUGGAUAACCCGUCCACUCCAGGAAGACCAACCAUAGCAUUACGCAACACAUCAAGCUCUACAAGAGUCAUGACUUCCUCCACAAAUAUCUGCAAGGGCGAAGAUUAG
rnacentral:rRNA from 1 species